rnacentral:rRNA from 1 species
AUUGAACGCUGGCGGAAGGCCUAACACAUGCACGUCGAACGAGUGGCGGACGGGUGCGUAAUGUCUGGGAAACUGCCUGAUGGAGGGGGAUCACUACUGGAAACGGUCGCUAAUACCGCAUACCAUCAGAUGGGCCCAGAUGGGAUUAGCUAGUUGUUGGGGUAACGGCUCACCAAGGCGACGAUCCCUAGCUGGUCUGAGAGGAUGACCAGCCACACUGGAAAUGAUACACGGUCCAGACUCCUACGGUAGGCAGCAGUGGGGAAUAUUGCACAAUGGGCGCAAGCCUGAUGCAGCAAUGCCGCGUGUAUGAAGAAGGCUUUCGGGUUGUAAAGUACUUUCAGCGGGGAGGCGUUACCCGCAGAAGAAGCACCGGCUAACUCCGUGCCAGCCGCCGCGGUAAUAC